rnacentral:rRNA from 1 species
UACGUGGGGUGCAAGCGUUGUUCGGAAUUACUGGGCGUAAAGCGUGUGUAGGCGGCUCGCUAAGUCUGGUGUGAAAUCCCCAAGCUUAACUUGGGAACUGCAUCGGAAACUGGCGAGCUUGAGUCCGGGAGAGGGUAGCGGAAUUCCUGGUGUAGCGGUGAAAUGCGCAGAUAUCAGGAGGAACACCCGUGGCGAAAGCGGCUCUCUGGGACGGUACUGACGCUGAGACGCGAAAGCGUGGGGAGCAAACAGG